CAGAGCUGCUGAUUCAUUUCUCCCUUGAAACUUAACAUAUGCUGCCGUUGAAACAACGAUUCAGAAAAUGGAUGUUGGAAAUAAUGCAAUUCAUGCUAAGCCCAGAAUGCAAUAAUAAACCAAAGAGAAAAACAUCCUGCGGUCUGUGUGCAUUCAAAUGGAAUUUGGAAUAUGAACCAAUAAGGAGAGUGAUCUCACUUCCAUCAAAGGAAAGCAAAUACCCAGGAAAGCUUUGAGAGCUCCUUCAGAGCUUCUGAAUAAUUUCUUCCUCCAAACUAAACGAGUGAUGCUGCAGAAAAAACAGAAUAGAAAGUGGAUGGCAGGAAAAAGCAUACUUUAUCCUAGGCAUUGAAUACAAUACAAAAAAGAGAAAAACAUCUUUGGGUUUGACCAUUCAGAAGGAGUUCUACGCAUAGUAUAUGAAUCAUUUAAGGAAAAAAAUAGCGAUUUUUUAAUUAGACAUACAAAAACAUAUUUUAUCAAAAUUUUCAUGAGUAGAUUUUAAUCAUAAAUAUGUCAAACAUCUCACAAGGUAGGCUUUAUGUCUCCAUCAGAUUAUAAAUAAAAAUUCAUAAAUAAUGAGUGUGCAUGUGAAAAAGUAAAGAACAAGUUUUUGGAAAUUCAUUUACUCUGUAUGAAUAUAUAUCACUGUGAUACGUGUAAUAAAGAAGCUGACUAGAUUAGAGCUAGGGAGGAUAAAGUUAUGUGGGAGAACCAGACAAAGGGGGGAUUUGCAGCAUUAUGUGGAGAAGAAGAAUUUGAUGACUUUGAUAUAUGGAGAAGAGGUACCGAGCAGGGUGUCAGAGCAUCCAUAAGAAUUGUGGCUUAAAUCCAUAUGUAAGAGUUAGCUAUUAAAGAGCCUGAGAUAUUGCCUGAGCAUUUGUAAUUAAUAUUUAGUCUUCAUGUGGCUAUUUGGCAGCUGUUUGGUUGGACAUAAACCUCUCCCUGCAAAACGUGUUCAUACAUAGGACCAAAAUUACCACAGAAGAUUUAAGAUCCAUUUACAAAGAUUCUAAUGCACGAGAAAGGGGCCAAAAUUAGCUUCAUCUUAACUGACUUUCAUCAGACAUAUUCAUGGCUAACAGAAAACAGAGGAAUGACCCUUAGUUGUCAGCUUCUAGGCUAGGUUCUAAUGUCAUAAAGGGAAGGGAUCUUUUAUGAUGCCAUACAUCCAAACAAAUGAAUGGGGUUUUGGAACAGCGAUCACUAAGCUACUCACUAUCAUCAAGUAUUCAACAACAUGUGUACCUUCAGCUGUAAAGGUGACUCCCUGAUAUGUCAGCAAUGAAUCUACAUCUCUGGCAUCCUAUCGUGGAGGUGCCAGCCCUCAAGGUGUGCUCCAAUUCAGGCAAUAAACUGAGCUGUAUUUUACUGCAAGUAAAGUGCAGUUGUAGAUUUGUCUCAAAAAAUCAAACAAUAAAACAGAGCUCAAAAUGUAUAUAUCAGCAAAGAAUCCAGUACAAAAGUCUUUCUGUGUUUAGAAAUACACACAUACAAGUGUUUCGGUUGUUCUUUUGUAACCACAUUUAUAUCCAACAAAGAAAAACCUGGGCAUGCUUCUGUACAGAAAACCUCAUAAUAUGAUAAACUUAUUCUCUAUAUUUGACAACUAAAAGUAUGGUCAUUUUAACAAUUUUUGACACUAGAACUUAGAGAGAGUAAAAUAAUCCCUUAAUAUAGCUUAGCAAUGUAAAAACUGUGAGAACACAAUGAUAACAAGUCCAUUUCCUUUGCUAUACUUUAUUAUCACUCAAGACCCUAGGGAGAUGGAUAUAAUAUUGUCUGUUGAAGAUACUGCUUGAUAUUUCAACUCAUCUGCAAAAUGGUUCUCAUAGGAAAGAGGAAAGAGCAUGACCCCCUAAUCUCUCUCAGAUGAUAAAGCCUCAAGUCAAGUAUCUUCAUUGAACUUACUGCAGCACUUCAAUUUUCAGACAGGGAUGUGACAUCUUUAAAGAGAUGCAGUAUUCCUGCAGCAGGAAUCUGCUUGAUGCACAUGUCACAGAAUCAGUCUCUCAAGUCUGUCAUGCUGUAAUGCUGUAAUGCAGGGAAUCAAUGCUGAGUUUGCUAAUUCUCAUGGGUUUUGUCUCCUAUAUAUGUCAUAAAUGGUCUGCUUUACCUGGGCUAAUGUAAUUUUUUAUAGGAAAGCACAAUUGGUAUCUGGUAUAUAGUCAGAGCUUCGAUGGUAAAGGUGCUCUCCUGACAACUGCAUUAGCUUUCUGACUGAAGGAGUGUGUACAUUCAAAUUGUGGGUGGAAUAGGAACCAGUAAGUAGAGUGAUCUCAUUUUCAGCAAGGGGAAAGCAAAUACUGAUGUAACAUUGAAGAUUACUAUAGAGGUGCUUAUUCUUUUCUGACUCCCAACCAAAAUUGUUCUGGAGCAGAGAAAGUGGAUGAAAUGAUAAAUGUAAUUUAUCAUAUGACCUGAAUAAAAUGACCAAAAUAGAAAAUAAUCCCAUCUUAACUAGGGUGAGAAUUUAUAUCCAGCCACCUU
ensembl:lncRNA